rnacentral:lncRNA from 1 species
CCUUCCUUUUGUGGUCAUAAACCUUGUGUUUAAAUUUCAUUGAUUUCUAUUUACUUAUACUAAAGUCAUUUUGCAAAAACUCAGAAUAAUGCUUAUUUGGGCCCUUUUUUGGCCCCUAAUUCCUAAACUAUUUGAACUAAAACUCCCAAAAUCAAUCCCGACCUUUCUUUUGUGGUCAUAAACCUUGUGUCAAAAUUUCAUAGAUUUCUAUUUACUUAAACUAAAGUUAUAGUGCGAAAACCAAGAAAAUGCUUAUUUGGGCCUUUUUGGCCCCUAAUUCCUAAAAUAUUGGGACCAAAACUCCCAAAAUCAAUCCCAACCUUCCUUUUGUGGUCAUAAACCUUGUGUUAAAAUUUCAUAGAUUUCUAUUCACUUUUACUAAAGUUAGAGUGCGAAAACUAAAAGUAUUCGGACGACGACGACGA